rnacentral:tRNA from 1 species
UGACCCGUGGUGUAAGCGGUAGCACGACUGAUUCUGAGUCAGCCGGUUUAGGUUCGAGUCCUGACGGGUCAG